UACGUAGGUGGCAAGCGUUAUCCGGAAUUACUGGGCGUAAAGCGCACGUAGGCGGUUGGCUAAGUCUGACGUGAAAGCUCCUGGCUUAACUGGGAGAGGUCGUUGGAAACUGGCUGACUUGAGGCGAUGAGAGGGACGUAGAAUUCCCGGUGUAGUGGUGGAAUGCGUAGAUAUCGGGAGGAAUACCAGUGGCGAAAGCGGCGUCCUAGCAUCGGCCUGACGUUCAUGUGCGAAAGCGUGUGGAGCGAACGGG
rnacentral:rRNA from 1 species